rnacentral:lncRNA from 1 species
AUGGCUUCUAUAUACCCUUCCAAUCCAUCAGAUAUGGCUUCCAUUUACCCUUCCAAUCCAUCAGAUAUCGCUUCUAUAUACCCUUCCAAUCAAUCAGAUAUGGCUUCCAUUUACCCUUCCAAUCAAUCAGAUAUGGCUUCUAUAUACCCUUCCAAUCAAUCAGAUAUGGCUUCUAUAUACCCUUCCAAUCAAUCAGAUAUGGCUUCCAUUUACCCUUCCAAUCAAUCAGAUAUGGCUUCUAUAUACCCUUCCAAUCCAUCAGAUAUGGCUUCCAUUUACCCUUCCAAUCCAUCAGAUAUCGCUUCUAUAUACCCUUCCAAUCAAUCAGAUAUGGCUUCCAUUUACCCUUCCAAUCCAUCAGAUAUGGCUUCUAUAUACCCUUCCAAUCAAUCAGAUAUUGCUUCUAUAUACCCUUCCAAUCAAUCAGAUAUGGCUUCCAUUUACCCUUCCAAUCAAUCAGAUAUGGCUUCCAUUUACCCUUCCAAUCAAUCAGAUAUGGCUUCUAUAUACCCUUCCAAUCCAUCAGAUAUGGCUUCCAUUUACCCUUCCAAUCAAUCAGAUAUGGCUUUCAUUUACCCUUCCAAUCCAUCAGAUAUGGCUUCUAUAUACCCUUCCAAUCAAUCAGAUAUGGCUUCCAUUUACCCUUCCAAUCAAUCAGAUAUGGCUUCUAUAUACCCUUCCAAUCAAUCAGAUAUGGCUUCCAUUUACCCUUCCAAUCAAUCAGAUAUGGCUUCUAUAUACCCUGCCAAUCAAUCAGAUAUGGCUUCCAUUUACCCUUCCAAUCCAUCAGAUAUGGCUUCCAUUUACCCUUCCAAUCCAUCAGAUAUGGCUUCCAUUUACCCUUCCAAUCAAUCAGAUAUGGCUUCUAUAUACCCUUCCAAUCCAUCAGAUAUGGCUUCCAUUUACCCUUCCAAUCCAUCAGAUAUGGCUUCUAUAUACCCUUCCAAUCAAUCAGAUAUGGCUUCCAUUUACCCUUCCAAUCAAUCAGAUAUGGCUUCCAUUUACCCUUCCAAUCAAUCAGAUAUGGCUUCUAAAUACCCUUCCAAUCAAUCAGAUAUGGCUUCCAUUUACCCUUCCAAUCAAUCAGAUAUGGCUUCUAUAUACCCUUCCAAUCAAUCAGAUAUGGCUUCCAUUUACCCUUCCAAUCAAUCAGAUAUGGCUUCUAUAUACCCUGCCAAUCAAUCAGAUAUGGCUUCUAUAUACCCUUCCAAUCCAUCAGAUAUGGCUUCCAUUUACCCUUCCAAUCAAUCAGAUAUGGCUUCUAUAUACCCUUCCAAUCAAUCAGAUAUGGCUUCUAUAUACCCUUCCAAUCAAUCAGAUAUGGCUUCCAUUUACCCUUCCAAUCAAUCAGAUAUGGCUUCCAUAUACCCUUCCAAUCAUUGCUUCUUACCCAGCUAUCAGAUUCCUCCAGAACUCCACACAACAACGAGGUAA